AGUUCAGAAACUUGUGCAGUUCAGAGCUUAAGAACAUGAGAUAGAAGAGAAGAUCGAUGGACUCAUUCAGGUGGAUUCAAAUGUGGUUAUCUCUGAUUCUGCUGCUUCACAUCACAGCUGUUCAGACCAAACCCUUUGCUGUCACACCUGGAGUUCAGGUCAACCUGCCUUGUAAAAAUGUGACCGAUACUAAGGACAAAUGCAAAAGUACAACCUGGACCUACACUCAUUCAGACAAAUCAAUAACACUGUUUAAAAAGGGAAAGAUUCAUAAAGAUGCCAGAGUUAAAUCAGACAGACUGACACUUGAACCUGACUGCUCUCUGGUUAUAAAGACGGUCACAGCUGAGGAUGAUGGUCGUUACAGCUGCAGACACUUCAGAUCAGGAGAAAGACACGGUGAAGACACUGAUUAUGAUCUGACUGUUGUCACGGGCGAGGCCACAAAACCAACCAGAGCCAAAGCAACGACAACACCAACCAGUAAAUCAACCAGAUCUACAGCAGCAGCAGCAGCAGAAAGCACACCAUCAGAGACAACCACAGCAGCAUCUACGAUCACUGAUCUAAAACAAGGUGACCACACACGUCACAUUUCUCUGUUUCUCUCAAAUAUUGUUGCUGCUCACCUCUCCAUCCACCAGACAGUCAUCAAAUAUAAGACAUGUAUACGAUGCAGCAUAAGAACACAUCGCAGCUCAUCAUCACAGCUCCACUGACAGCAUUUCACCCUCCUUGAUUCUCUCUCCAGCUUGGUGGUGGUUCGUCAUCGUGGCCGCUGGUGUAGCAGCGCUCAUAAUAACUGUUGUUGCGCUCGUCAGAUGGAGGAGAACUGAAGGUGAGAACGUUCACAGGUUGAACUUUGUACCAGGAUUUUCACUGCAGAAGCUCACAGUGACACAUUUUGUCUUCUCAGGGAACAAAACACAGAUGGAAGAAAACACUGUGAGUUUACAUCAUACAAACUAUAUACCAGCUGUUGAAUGUGACUCCUGGAAUUACACCAGUCGAGCUGAAAUGAAGUGGAGAGAUGAAAGAGCGAGUCAUUUUAGAACUACGUGUUACUGAGCAGCCAUGUUGACUCCUCUGUGCAGGCUGAUCCUGAAGAUGGUGUUCACUACACCUCCGUCAGCUUCACCAGGAAGACCGACAGUGAAGAUCAGGUGAGCUGGUGAUGAAUGAAAACACUUCAGAGGUCAGAAACACAGGAAAGAUUCUUUAUUCUACCUUUAAAGUUCACAGGCUUCAUUUAUAAAAAAAAUUUGUUACACUCAUUAUUCUCACUAUUUCCAACAGUGUGCUCACCUUCAAUUCAUAAAAAACCUGGGCAUAGACAACUGUCCACUUUUCCACACUCUCUCAGUGUUUCCCUCUGGUGUUGCUGUUGCUGCCGUUUUCACAAAUACAGCGGUAGCAGCCUGGCUCCCACUGGCUACUGUCCAACUAAAAAACAAGAGAGAAAAUCCUGAUUGGACCUAGAAAGCCUGAUCUCAGUGCCGUGAAAAGACAGAGUAAGACCCCGUUUACACGAGGACGCUUGCGGGUAAAAACGACAAAUUAUUUUAUCAGAAGUGCCUUUUGUUUAUACGGUGACGGCGUUUUUGGGGCUUGAAAACGCAAAAAUCUGAAACCACCCUCCAGAGUGGAAAAGUUGA
ensembl:lncRNA